rnacentral:tRNA from 1 species
ACAGUGGUAGUUCAGUGGUAGAAUUCUUGUCUUCGAUGCAGGAAUCUGGGUUCAAAUCUCCAGCCAAUGCA